rnacentral:rRNA from 1 species
CCUACGGGAGGCAGCAGUGGGGGAUAUUGCACAAUGGGGGGAACACUGAUGCAGCGACGCCGCGUGGGUGAAGAAGCGCCUCGGCGCGUAAAGCCCUGUCAGCAGGGAAGAAAAUGACGGUACCUGAAGAAGAAGCCCCGGCUAACUACGUGCCAGCAGCCGCGGUAAUACGUAGGGGGCAAGCGUUAUCCGGAUUUACUGGGUGUAAAGGGGGCGCAGACGGCGAUGCAAGCCAGGAGUGAAAGCCCGGGGCCCAACCCCGGGACUGCUCUUGGAACUGCGUGGCUGGAGAGCAGGAGAGGGCGGUGGAACUCCAUGUGUAGCGGUAAAAUGCGUAGAUAUAUGGAAGAACACCAGUGGCGAAGGCGGCCGCCUGGCCUGUUGACUGACGCUGAGGCACGAAAGCGUGGGGAGCAAAUAGGAUUAGAUACCCGGGUAGUC